rnacentral:snoRNA from 1 species
UAAGCCCCUCACCUUCUGUACUUAAAAUACAUGCUAGCAUUCAAGCGGGGCAAAGGAAGUGUCCUUUUAAAACUCAAGCAAAAUGGGUGUUUGUCUUGUAUCCUGUCAACGUGAAAAAAAA